GAUAGGAUGCACCCAAUUCUCAUGAGAACAGCAGAGGAAAGAGGCUAUGUAAGAGCAGUGCAAGGAGAGAGUGUCAGUCAAUUUGGAAUCAGUUAAGGCAGUGCAGUGACUGGAGUAAUGUUGAGUUUGAAAGUUCUGCUCACUUUGUGCAUUCCUUGCAGUAUAGGUCAGCAGAGGCAGUUAAAAUAUAAGAAUAAGAAAGACCAAGAUAAUAUAACAUAGCACCAGAGUUAGUUUGAGGUCAAGCAGAAUAAUUCAGUGAGAAGGUCAGAGAACCCAGACUGUAUCAUUUAGCUGGGAGAGGAAUUUGAGCCCUAAAAGCUGAGUUGAAGCAGCCAGCCAGAGUUCUGAAAGAUCUAGAAAGGGUGAGAUUAUUCAUCAGUAAGUUUUCAAGAUGACAAUUACAUCUGAAAAAAAUGUUAUAUUUACAAUACUAGACUAAUACUAGCUACCCCACCUGGCUUAGAUAACUUAUUUUAGAAAAAAAGAAAAAAGAAAAGAAAAGAAAACGGCUUUUUAGACAACUAACUGAUGGCAGUGCAGUUAGAGAUAUCUCAUCAUAUUAAUGCUAUUUGAAAUUUACUGGUUUCUUUCUGUGUAUUUGUAGGUCACUGUGCUGUGUGUGUUUUUAGUGUGCUUGUCUACUUAGUUCAUAUACCCUUACCACAUUGUGAAGCUCUUGUCACUGAGAUUAUUCAGUAGAAAAAUGCAUUGAUGAAGGCUACAAAGAUGAUUAAGUAUAUAAUAAGAAGAAUUCCAUUGCAGAUUGGAUAGAUUUAGAGUCUAGCUUCUUAGUUAUUAUGCUAAGACAGACAUGAUAAAAAGAGAUGUCUUAUUCACGAGAACCUAAAGAUUCAUACUGUCAAAUGUGAGCAGUGUGAAACUGAUGAGUUAUUGUUGAGCUCAUAAUUAUAGUGGGUGCAGCACCCCUGACCUAUAGCACCCACCAUCUAAGGGACAGCUGUAAAAGAGAAGAAAGCCACCUGGAUAUGAGACAUGGUAAGGAUUAAUCUAUUGCUGUUUUAAAAACAAAAUCUCAAAUAUUUGAUUUACCAAAUUAAGAGUCAUGAGCCAGAUGCUGUGGCAAAAGCCUGUUAACUUGGAGAGGCAGAAAAAGCACCCGGUUUAUGUUCCUACUCCACUGACUCCCAAGAGUCCCAGAAAGAAAGAGCUCUCUCUUUCUCCAGAGUGUCUUAAAUUCUUGUCAACAAAAAGAAAAUUCUCUUUUCUGUGCUUUCUUAUGUUCACUCUGUGUCAACUGCUUGCUUACUUUGUCUUUUUGACCUAUUGUUGCCUUAACUUAGCUCUUCUUUACAGAGAGUUUCUGGGUUUGUGCUAGGACUGAGUCAUACCACGACCACUUGUUUGCAGUAAAUAGAAAACUCUUGGGUUAAAGGUGCUAGUACUGAGGUAUAACAAAACAAGCCAUAGGUGUUUCCAGUUCACAAUCCAUGUACUAUGUAGUGUCUAAGUGGUACUUGACAACAUUAAUUUGCCAACACCUUUAGCGGUUAUCAUUAGUGUUAUAUGUAGAUACAUGUGUUGCAAGAAUGUACACAUAUUGGUCCCAGCUUCUAUUCUGUUUUAAAGAGGAAAAGGUAAAUUUUGGUUCUUUACUCUCAGCUCAGAAGAACUACAAUUAGAAUCCAGUUCAUUCCCUUGACCCUAGUGUCAUUUUUUGUUUCACCCAUCAUUUCAUAGAUUAAGUCACAGAGGAAAUGGGGCUUCACAAUAAAAUACUCAUAAAUGUUCAAAAUUGAGACAAACCAAUGGUCUGUCAAGGUAAGGGCACCUAAGAUAAAACUUUUCAUCUUCAAAGAACACCUUUCCUGGAGAUACCAUCACCUAUACUUUCACUCUGCUUCCCUUUCUGAUCUACUAAGGUAAUUUUACAUGUUUUUAAGCUCUGUUGAAGUUCCAAUUGAUUGAAUCUACUGUUCUAUAUAGUAAUAAUUUAACAUAAAUAUUAGAUUAUUUUACUUCUAGAAUUGUUUAGAUUGCAGUCUAUCAACCAAUAAGGACUUUUAAAGGGUUGUAUGUAAUCCAUUCCUGUACAGAGAGGGUUGAGGUUUUUAUUCUCUCUCAC
rnacentral:lncRNA from 1 species